CUUCCUAAAACACCCUUUUUUAAAGUGAGGUAGAGAGGAAGAGAGACAGAGAGGACAGGGCUUGAAAAAACUGCACCAUCAUUAUCCAUUCUUGCACAUAGCCACCACAGGCACCUAACUUAAUCAGGUUUAUAAUCGGCAUGGUUUUUCAACAUUUAAUUGAUAAUAUUAACAAGGUACUGAAAUCUAUUCUGAAUCACAACAGUAGUUGGUUGGAUCAAAAUAUGUUUAUUUUAAUCCAUGAUAUUAGACCAAUAAAACAUUCAACAUACAUUGAUUUUGAUACCCAGGGUUAAUCUCAAACUACAAAAAUAAAAUAAUUUUAGCACACUAAGACAUGUUAUAUGCAAUUGUAAUGGAAAAAACACCAGUUAGUUUUACUUACUCUCUAGAAUAGAUGAACUUCGCCCUUCUCAUUCUUUUUCUGUUCAACAUAUUGAUGAACUUGUUUAGAUUACAACACUACUUAUAAUACAUAAUAACAUAUACACAAACACUAGGAUACAUUAAUCAAACAGCAGAACAACUGCCAAGAAAGGUCUAAAACAAGGAAUAAUCAAUAAAAAGAGGAAAUCCCUACAUUUUUCGGACUCUAGCGGUGAAACAUCAUACCAAAUAUGUCCUUAAAAUUAACUUCCGGUCAUACUCUAUAGGACACAAGAACUUUGGCCUUCCCCUUUUUUUGCUAUACUACAUAUUGAUGAACUCGUUCAGCUUUUCUUUGACUAGACUGUUCAUACGAAGAGCUUCACUUAUUUGUGAGUUCCAUUUUAUACAUUCUGAGUCUAGCAAUGUUGCAGGAGUAGAUUACUCUCAUAUCAGUAAUUUUGAAAUGGAGAUGUCUUUUUAUGUCAUAACUAAAUAGAUGUGAUUACUCUAAUAGCAGUAACUGUCAGGUUUGUUUAUUUAAUAUUAUUUACGUAUAAAUAGUUGCUUAAAUCAGUCUUCUUAAUUCUAUUUUAUUUACAUAAAUGUCUUGUUUGUUUAUUUACUAUUUUCAGCAUCCCAUUGGCAAAGCAAAAAUGUUAAAGGAGGGACUAUUGGCAAAGGAAAUGCAGCUAUGGUUGCAACUAUGGGGAGGUUAAAGGUGGAACUAGAUUAUGCCAUAGGGAGGCCCACAAAGACAAGAUUUCAAGUAAAUUAACGAGUGUGGUUAUCUAGUUGGGAAGCAUGCUCCUCUACAAGUUGAGACAUGGAUGCAGAUUGAUGAAAAUGAAAGAAAAAGAAUCAGAAACCUUCUACAGGUCACGACAUAUGGUUAGUACAACCGCUAUCCAAGAUCCAUGAGUUUUUGCUUGUGCUUGCGAUGUUGCAAAUGGUUGUGAAGGUUGAUUCAUCUAUUAUUGACGCUUCCAGUUUCAAAAACAACAAUAGAACGAGCUUUUACAAGGAUGAAGUUUGUUAAAACAUCGCUCUGCAAUUAAAUGAAGAAUGAAUUUCUAGAAAACUUCAUGAUUGUUUAUAUUGCAAGGGAGAUAGCUGAUGGUAUUGAUUCAGAUUUCAUAAUUGAUAAGUUUGAUCUUUUGAAGAAUCGUAAGUUCAGACUAAGUGGUUUAUGUAUUUACAUUGCAUAUUUUUUUACUUUCAUAAUUUUUUUUCAUUAUUAUUAUAUUAAUUUAAUAUGGUAAUUAUAUGCAUAUUGAGAGGUAA